rnacentral:rRNA from 1 species
GUGCCAGCCGCCGCGGUAAUACCCGCGGCCCGAGUGGUGCUCAUUAUUAUUGAGCUUAAAGCGUCCGUAGCCGGCCUCGUAAAUCUUUGGGUAAAUCGGGCAGCUUAACUGUCCGAAUUCCGAGGAGACUGCGAGGCUCGGGACCGGGAGAGGUUCGAGGUACUCUCGGGGUAGGGGUAAAAUCCUGUAAUCCUGAGAGGACCACCAGUGGCGAAGGCGUCGAACUAGAACGGAUCCGACGGUGAGGGACGAAGCCCUGGGGCGCAAACGGGAUUAGAUACCCCCGUAGUCC